GAGUUUGAUCCUGGCUCAGGACGAACGCUGGCGGCGUGCUUAACACAUGCAAGUCGAACGGAAAGGCCCUGCUUUUGUGGGGUGCUCGAGUGGCGAACGGGUGAGUAACACGUGAGUAACCUGCCCUUGACUUUGGGAUAACUUCAGGAAACUGGGGCUAAUACCGGAUAGGAGCUCCUGCUGCAUGGUGGGGGUUGGAAAGUUUCGGCGGUUGGGGAUGGACUCGCGGCUUAUCAGCUUGUUGGUGGGGUAGUGGCUUACCAAGGCUUUGACGGGUAGCCGGCCUGAGAGGGUGACCGGCCACAUUGGGACUGAGAUACGGUCCAGACUCCUACGGGAGGCAGCAGUGGGGAAUAUUGCACAAUGGGCGGAAGCCUGAUGCAGCAACGCCGCGUGCGGGAUGACGGCCUUCGGGUUGUAAACCGCUUUCGCCUGUGACGAAGCGUGAGUGACGGUAAUGGGUAAAGAAGCACCGGCUAACUACGUGCCAGCAGCCGCGGUGAUACGUAGGGUGCGAGCGUUGUCCGGAUUUAUUGGGCGUAAAGGGCUCGUAGGUGGUUGAUCGCGUCGGAAGUGUAAUCCUUGGGGCUUAACCCUGAGCGUGCUUUCCGAUACGGGGUUGACUUGGAGGAAGGUAAGGGGAGAAUGGAAUUCCUGGUGGAGCGGUGGGAAUGCGCAAAUAUCAGGAGGAAACCCCAGUGCCGAAAAGCGGUUCUCUGGGCCUUUCCUGACGCUGAGGAGCGAAAGCGUGGGGAGCGAACAGGCUUAGAUACCCUGGUAGUCCACGCUGUAAACGGUGGGUACUAGGUGUGGGGUCCAUUCCACGGGUUCCGUGCCGUAGCUAACGCUUUAAGUACCCCGCCUGGGGAGUACGGCCGCAAGGCUAAAACUCAAAGGAAUUGACGGGGCCCCGCACAAGCGGCGGAGCAUGCGGAUUAAUUCGAUGCAACGCGUAGAACCUUACCUGGGUUUGACAUGGAUCGGGAGUGCUCAGAGAUGGGUGUGCCUCUUUUGGGGUCGGUUCACAGGUGGUGCAUGGCUGUCGUCAGCUCGUGUCGUGAGAUGUUGGGUUAAGUCCCGCAACGAGCGCAACCCUUGUUCACUGUUGCCAGCACGUUAUGGUGGGGACUCAGUGGAGACCGCCGGGGUCAACUCGGAGGAAGGUGGGGAUGACGUCAAGUCAUCAUGCCCCUUAUGUCCAGGGCUUCACGCAUGCUACAAUGGCUGGUACAGAGAGUGGCGAGCCUGUGAGGGUGAGCGAAUCUCGGAAAGCCGGUCUCAGUUCGGAUUGGGGUCUGCAACUCGACCUCAUGAAGUCGGAGUCGCUAGUAAUCGCAGAUCAGCAACGCUGCGGUGAAUACGUUCCCGGGGCUUGUACACACCGCCCGUCAAGUCAUGAAAGUUGGUAACACCCGAAGCCGGUGGCCUAACCGUUGUGGGGGAGCCGUCGAAGGUGGGACUGGUGAUUAGGACUAAGUCGUAACAAGGUAACCGUA
rnacentral:rRNA from 1 species